UGAGGGGUGAGAGUAAGGAGCCCCGAGGGACAGGACAAGAGGGACGGGUCGCCUCCUUCCGCCUGGGGCUCAGCCCGCUGGGGCAUCCUAAAGCCCUGUCCCAGGGGGGAGGGCCUAACUGCCCACCGUCCUGCAGCCGGUGCCAGAAACCCCGAGUCAAGGGAUUUGAACCGCCACUGCUCCUUCCUGCUAGGCUGUGGGAUGCAUGGGGGGUACAAGGGGCUCUCCUUCCCGGGGGUCGGGAGCCAGAAUGCCUGCGGCCAGUCUCUUCCCACUUAGGUUGUAGACAGGCCUCUGAGGCUCGGGACCAAGAUCAUUCCAGCAGAUCACCUCGGCGCCCUGAGGUCCCCUGUGAUAGGUCUCUGAAUUGAAGGGGGGGGGGGCGGAUCCUAGAAACCCACCCCUUCCUGGUCUCCCUGAAAUGCCUGCCUGUUGCUUUCUGGACCAUUGAUCAGUCCUGAAUCUCGACCCUCCUCCGGCCCUCCAGAGACCUCGCCCAUGGUUUCUGUUCCAGUCUGGGCUCUGUUCAUGAGCAGGCUCAUGGCCAGCGGCCUAGGGCCUCAUCACGGCCCCCUACCUCCUCAAGGCUCCUGCCAUCCCAUCCACCCUCCUCGCUGCCCCUGGAUGCAAGAAGAUUCUCACUGCUGCUGUCCCCGGCUCCUUGCUGCCUCCCAGUCCCCCGCAGAGGCUUCUGGGGCUGGGACUGCGGUGUGGGCUGGGGCAUGGUGGUGAGGGGCACCCCACCACCGGCCCCGCAGCUCCCAGAGGAGACAGUUUAUCAAACACGAGAAACCGCCUCACAGACGUGAAGUCAGGCUCCCAGGUCUCGAAAUGUCAGUCACAGAGCUGCUCAGUUCUGCAGCAGUUUAAACACCGCAGUUUUUCUUCCCGAAAGGAAAGGAAAACCACAAUCACCUGUCUCACCGAGUGGCCUGCCAUAGCCUCGCUGCAGGCGGCCUGUGUCUGGCUCUGCUCAGAGAUGAGGGCUCCUCAAGGUCAGGGCCGAGCCCUUUCCGGCUGCGUUACCGCCUGGCCUGGAGUGGGCACGGACAUUGGCCAACUGAAUGGACGAGGUGAGGCUCUGGGCUUGCAGACCUGGGAGCCCGGGAGCGCCUCCCUUACCUCUCUUCCCCUUGGGGGCCCCCGGCCGUCGCCCAGCAC